rnacentral:rRNA from 1 species
GACGAACGCUGGCGGCGCGCUUAACACAUGCAAGUCGAACGGAAAGGCCUGCUUUCCCUUGUGGCUUGCGGGUACUCGAGUGGCGAACGGGUGAGUAACACGUGAGUCAUCUGCCCCCAACUUGGGUAUAAGCCUGGGAUACUGGGUCUAAUUCCCGAUCGCCCUGCAGUGUGGUGCCUGUGGUUGAAAACGAUUUUCUAGUGGUUGGGGAUGAGCUCGCGGCCUAUGAGCUGGUUGGUGUGGUAAUGGCCUACCACUGGGGCGACGGGUAGCCGGCCUGAGGGGGUGGACCGGCACAGUGGGACUGAGAAGCGGCACAGGAACUGACGGGAGGAAGCAGCGGGGAAGCAUGGACGAUGGGGGGAAGACUGGUGCAGGGACGCCGAGUGGGGGAUGACGGGCUGCGGGUGGGAAACUGCUUUCGGGCGAGAGGAAGCCACUUGGCUGGAAGGGUAGUGACGGUAGUGGGAGAAGAAGCACCGGCUAACUACGUG